rnacentral:lncRNA from 12 species
CCCCCCCCCCCCCCCCCCCCCCCCCCCCCCCCCCCCCCCCCCCCCCCCCCCCCCCCCCCCCCCCGGCGGCGGGGGGGAACGCGGGACCGGCCGAGGGUCCGGGACACGGUCCUGUGAGCGGCGGCCGGGCGUGCCGCACCCGCUGGAAAGGAGGUCCAAGGGCGACCUUCUCGCCCCGCAGCUCCCUGGCUGUAGCCAGGUGUGACUCGGCCUCUUCUCCCAGGCACACUGCGGCAGAGCGAAGGGACUUGGCCUCGAGCUGCACCAGAGGAGGUUUAGGUUGGACAGUAAGAGGAAUUUCUUCACGGAAGGGGUGGUUUGAUAUUGGAAUGGGCUGCCCAGGGAGCUGGUGGAGUCACCGUCCCUGGAGGUGUUUCAGGGAAGACGACGUGGAGCUCAGUACCACGGGGGUCUGACUGACACCUUGGUGUCCGGUCAGGUUGGACUCGGUGAUCCCAGAGAUCUUUCCCAGCCUGAUUGAUUCUGUGGUUCUGUUAAGUGUUUCUGAUUUAUGGAGUGUACCGUGAGUUGAAGCACCUCCACCCGUGGCUUUCCAUCCCGGGUUCAUGGCCACAUUCAGUGCUGGGGAGGUGCCGUGCUGGUGCAGCAGCCCCGGGAAGCACAGAGGUGCUGGAAGCCAGGCAUUGCAACUGAGCUAGGCUGUGAGCUCCCUCUUUGUCAAAUAUUUUCCCUAUUUUUGCCUGCAGGCUCUUCCCAGCAGUGCUUGGGCUUCCCUGUGCACUGUGGUGGCACCCAGUUGUGGUAGAAACCCCCAUGAUCCUGCCUGCCAUCAAUACCCCCCAACACCCUGCAGGUAGAUCACCACUCUGCUUUUUACUUUCUCAUUUCUUGAAAAUCAGCUCUGUAUGGCCUUGCAGUAUAUGGUUAUAUAAAAAAUCAUAUGUAAUAUAUCACCAAAUCCUUACAUCCACACAGAGUCAAGCUGCAGACCAGACCAGUGCCCUGUUACCAUGAGGAGAGGGGUGUGGGAAUUGGGGAAUUGGAAGCUGCUAAAUUCCAGUAUCAAGAGGUGGUUUGGGUGCAGCCUUGCCUGGGAUGGGCAGGGUGGUCUUCAUCCCUCCUGGAUGAAGCUCCCUCUCAGCUCUGCUGUGAUCCCACAUCCAACACCUGCGAGCCAAACACAACCUAGCCAGGGGGUUCAGCAUCUUCCAGGAACCUGGGGCUGCAUCACAAAGAAACAACGGGAUAGAGGCACUGAACCCAAACCCCUGCCUGGUUUUAUGCCUCGUCGAUAA